GUUAAUGGCGCGUGCAGGCGUCUGCGCUGCUUUUCCGCUGGGGGAGUUACCGUAGGACUCGCAAUCUUCGAGUUUUAAUUGUUUAUUUAUUUUUUCUUCCUGUUAUGUUGCCCUCUGUGCUUCCAAAGCUCGGCACAGAUUCGGCAGUGAGAAGGUUUCCUGGUGUUUGGAAACUUCUCUCUUUUUAAGACUCCCUUCCCGGGACGGAGCUCCGUCCCUCCCUCUUUUGUCUCUUUUUUUGUCUUUUAUAUUUUUUCCUACCUCCUUUCGAAGAGUUGGAUUGCUUUUCUGGGUGCCUGAUGUCCUCUGCCGGCAUUCAGAAGUUGUUUUGUGGAAUUUACUCGACGUUUAAAUGCUCUUUUGAUGAAUUUGUGGGGGAGAAAGUGUUCUCCCCGUCCUACUCCUCCGCCAUCUUGGCUCCUCCUCAAGAUUUUCUUUUAAAAUCAGGAACAAGGUUAUUACAAGAUACUGAGUAGAGUUCCCUGUGCUAUAUGCUGAUAGCCAUGGUUCCUGCGAGUUCCCCAGCACCCAUCGGAUGUGCAGAGCUGCAGUGCACUGAGGACCAGUGAAUGACAGCUUGUGAGGACCUGGGCAAGGCGGGUGGGCCACGAGGAUGGACAGCUCAACCUCCCAUCGUCCCCUAAGGUUCCCUGCAUUCAUCAUAUAGAUUCAUCACUGCUGGACUCAAGAAUACAGCUUUCUCCACAUUCCGCCUUACACUAGUGGGUGUUCCGAGGUAGGGCUGGAGAGUGGGGGAGGGGGCAUCUAAGGCUGCCCUGCAUGUUACCAGGACUGCUGAGUUUUGCCUUUCCUGUCCCUGCCCUUCCUCUCCAGUGCUAGCUUUGUCACUAACAACACCGGAUCUCUGGCUGCCCUGCACUCUCUGGCCCUCAAAUUCUCCAUCUUGGAAAUGAAAUGGACAAGAGUGAUUUCAAAGGGUCCCUGUAACUCUGAGCUUCUUAGAACCACUGCUACAUCCAAGAAAUGCCAGAACCAGGCCUACAGGGCAGCCUAAGAGACAGAGAUGAGAUGCAAAUUGAAUGAAGACUGUGGUUUUCAGUCUCACUAGUUGCCUUCGCUUCAAGAGCUCAGUGGCAGUGUCGGCUCCUGGCUCCUACAUGUGGAUAUAGAGCAUUUCUGUCCUUGCAGAAAGUUCUACUGGGCCGCACUCAGGAUAGUCCUGGGAGGAAGCUAGCAGGUGACAGGGUGCCUGGGCACAGGAUGGAGGAGAGCAGGGAGGUCUGACAUCUGGUGAAGACUGGUUUAUCAUCCUGGAGUUGCCUUUUAAAG
ensembl:lncRNA